GUCCCUGUAGCGCAAUGGAUAGCGCGUUGGGCUUUUAAUCCUAAGGUCGUGGGUUCGAAUCCUACCUGGGAUG
rnacentral:tRNA from 1 species